rnacentral:rRNA from 1 species
GACGAACGCUGGCGGCGUGCCUAAUACAUGCAAGUAGAACGGAAAGGUUCUACCGUAGCUGGCUGCACGAUAGACGGAGGGGUGAGAACGGGGGAGGAACCCGUCGGUAGCCUUCCGGAUAACGUGAGGAAACUGGGGCUAACACCGGAUAGGACCUCAUGCUGUUGAGUGUUGGAUGGAAAGUUUCGGAGGGUGGGGAUGGAAUCGCGGCUUAUUAGCUUGUUGGUGGGGUAGCGAGUUGGCAAGGUUUCGGCGGAUAGCCGGCCUGAGAGGGUGACCGGCCACAUUGGGCCUGAGGUACGGCCCAGAGUCCUACGGGAGGCAGCAGUGGGGAAUAUUGCACGAUGGGCGGAAGCCGUAUGCAGCAACGCCGCGUGCGGGAUGACGGCCUUCGGGUUGUAAACCGCUUUCGCCUGUGACGAAGCGUGAGUGACGGUAAUGGGUAAAGAAGCACCGGCUAACUACGUG